rnacentral:rRNA from 1 species
AUUGAACGCUGGCGGCAUGCCUAACACAUGCAAGUCGAACGAGUGGCGGACGGGUGAGUAAUGUAUGGGAACGUGCCCAAUCGAGGGGGAUAACUACUGGAAAACGUGGCUAAUACCGCAUACGGUGGGAUCGGCCGACAGGGGAUUAGCUAGUAGGGGGGGUAACGGCUCACCAAGGCGACGAUCCCUAGCUGGUCUGAGAGGAUGACCGGCCACACUGGAACUGAGACACGGCCCAGACUCCUACGGGAGGCAGCAGUGGGGAAUAUUGGACAAUGGGCGAAAGCCUGAUAGAGCCAUGCCGCGUGAAUGAAGAAGGCCUUCGGGUUGUAAAGUACUUUUGGCAGAGAAGCGGUAUCUGCAGAAGAAGCACCGGCUAACUACGUGCCAGCAGCCGCGGUAAUUC